rnacentral:tRNA from 1 species
GGCGGAGUAGUGUAAGAGAGCACGCGGAAUUAUAUUUCGAAGAGUGGGUUGCUGUCUUGCCUCCGCAG